rnacentral:rRNA from 1 species
UACGAAGGGGCUAGCGUUGUUCGGAAUUACUGGGCGUAAAGCGCACGUAGGCGGAUUUGUUAGUCAGGGGUGAAAUCCCGGGGCUCAACCUCGGAACUGCCUUUGAUACUGCAAGUCUCGAGUCCGGAAGAGGUGAGUGGAAUUCCUAGUGUAGAGGUGAAAUUCGUAGAUAUUAGGAAGAACACCAGUGGCGAAGGCGGCUCACUGGUCCGGUACUGACGCUGAGGUGGCGAAAGCGUGGGGAGCAAACAGG